rnacentral:rRNA from 1 species
UACGUAGGUGGCAAGCGUUAUCCGGAUUUAUUGGGCGUAAAGGGAACGCAGGCGGUCUUUUAAGUCUGAUGUGAAAGCCUUCGGCUUAACCGGAGUAGUGCAUUGGAAACUGGGAGACUUGAGUGCAGAAGAGGAGAGUGGAACUCCAUGUGUAGCGGUGAAAUGCGUAGAUAUAUGGAAGAACACCAGUGGCGAAAGCGGCUCUCUGGUCUGUAACUGACGCUGAGGUUCGUAAGCGUGGGUAGCAAACAGG